rnacentral:rRNA from 1 species
CCUACGGGUGGCAGCAGUGGGGAAUAUUGCACAAUGGGGGAAACCCUGAUGCAGCGACGCCGCGUGAGUGAAGAAGUAUUUCGGUACGUAAAGCUCUAUCAGCAGGGAAGAAAAUGACGGUACCUGACUAAGAAGCCCCGGCUAACUACGUGCCAGCAGCCGCGGUAAUACGUAGGGGGCAAGCGUUAUCCGGAUUUACUGGGUGUAAAGGGAGCGUAGACGGUAGAGCAAGUCUGAAGUGAAAGCCCAUGGCUUAACCACGGAACUGCUUUGGAAACUGUGGAACUAGAGUGCAGGAGAGGUAAGCGGAAUUCCUAGUGUAGCGGUGAAAUGCGUAGAUAUUAGGAGGAACACCAGUGGCGAAGGCGGCUUACUGGACUGUAAAUGACGCUGAGGCUCGAAAGCGUGGGGAGCAAACAGGAUUAGAUACCCGAGUAGUC